GUGGAGUCCUUGCGGGUUUCCCGAUGUUAGUCCAUUUCUUGCAGCUUGGUGAGGAAAAGGCCCCCAUCAGUCCCCUGAAUCAUUGCUGUUUUCAAAGCUGAGCAUGAAGGUUCUUUUGGCAGCAUAGAGUCUUAUUUCAUCCAUAAUUCCAGAGUCUGUUUUAUUUAUGCUUUCUGUAUCUUCUCUCUACAGGAGGGGACUUGGAGUCCUCUUCUCUGGGAUCUAAGACUUCCCAUCUUUCCUAUGUGAGCCCAGAGAACUAACAUAUUCACGAAGACAUUUUCAGAGAAUCAUCGGUGGGCAUGUCUCCCAUUACACAGAAGGAAGAUGCCAACGUCACUUAAACUUGUUGGAACAAUUUGUUCUCCCUCUGGUAAAGAUUCUGUCAUUUCCUCAAAUGUCAUAACAAAUGAACAAAGAUCAUAAUAUUCUCUAGUAGUCUAGGAAGAAAAACCUCGUGAGAAAAUUAUCAGAGAAACAGAAAUCUUAUUGGUCUCCAUAGAGUUUCAUGGUUUUUUUUUUUUUCCUUUUAAUAGAGGAGUCAGGGGAAAAUAUAAAUAAAAAUAUUGUUUUCAAUAUAUUUGGGUGAUUGUGUAGUUGUCGGGAACAGAAAGUCUCUACUGAACUUUACUAAGAAAAUCUGUAAUAUUUUUACCGUUUUCUGGGAUGGCAUCUGACACAUUUCAUUGUACUCAACAGAAUAAGUUAGAAAACCUCUUACCAGAAUACCUCCAAUAGUUUUUUUUUUUUUUGUGUGUGUGUGUGUGUGCAAAUAAAACACAGACCAGCAUGGAACAUAAAAAGGACCUUUGGUAUUUGGUGUUGGAAAAAUGGCCUCUUGGAUCCAGAGCUCUUUAGGAGUCAUGGGUUCUUGGAUAGAAUUACUGAGAAAAAGAAGUCAGAAUUACCCAGGAGGCUGCGGGCUUUUGCUGAGAGAGGCCAAAGAAAGGAGAUCUGUGUUGGUUGGGAGCUCUCAUCGCCUCGCAGGGCUGAUGGUUGGCUUGGAAGAGAACAAAAAGAGAAUGCUGGCUGGAAUUUGGGCAGUUGAACAGUGCGAUGAACAUGAAGCAACGAGCUCCCUCAGCUCCUCCUGAAGUAUUCUUCGAAAGUGAGGGAUUCCAGCUGGAGUAGGAGCUUUGAGGGACUCACCAUGAACUUUAGGGGACUGGUUUAUUGUCUGUGACAGUAAGUUUUUAAGUCAUUGUUCCAGUUCCUUUUUACAAAAAAAGGCAGUUGUAAUUCUCAUCAGAAUUCCCAAUUUAUAAAUAAAAAAGGAAUUAAAUAUGCUAACUCCA
rnacentral:lncRNA from 1 species